ACGCAGACUCUUCGAGUUUAAAUUAUGUUGAGUCUUUCCGAUAGCGAUCUUUGCUUUAGGGAUCUUUAAUUUCUCGGAUGUCUUUUC